rnacentral:ribozyme from 12 species
UAAAACUGAAUUGAGCUGAAUUGGAUCAUUUUGUUUCUUUCCCCUCCUUUUCUCCUCUUUUAUCUCCUUUUUCUCUCCUUUUUUCCUUUUUUUCUUCCAAAAC